GGCCCCAUCUCUCUGGACGCAGCGGUCGGCCGUGCAGACCUGGGGUCGCCCCGGCCCCGCGGUAGAGGCGGGAGGCGGAGGCGGCUCGGAAGUCGCGCCCCCGCUGGGUCGCUAGAGGCUGAAGCGCAGGCCAAGCAGCGGAGCGAACGCGGGAUCCAACCCGAAACCCCCGACGGCUGUGGGGACGGCCACGUUCUGCCGCGAAGACCCUUGCGAUGAAAGAUGAGGGAACUGAAGCCUAAAGAAGUCAAUGAACUUGACCAAGAUCACACAAAUUGGGGGUGUAAUAGAGAUUCAACCAUCCAGCUCCAGAGUCUGCAUUUUUAAACCAAGAUAGCAGUCAGCUGUGUUCAGGCAUCACCUGCACUGUUUACAGCCCUCUGAUGAGUGUGUGUUUGUUUCAAAAAUCCAAGCAGCCCAGAAUCCCUGAGCUGGCAGAACACACUUGGUUUUAGGAGUAACACAGUCCACCUCCAAAAACACUUUGCCUGGAGUCAUCAGGCCAGAAGGAACUGGUACAACAUUUUUCAGGUGCUGAAAGAAAAGAACUGUCAACCACAAUCUCUAUCUGGCAAGACUAUUUUACCAAAAUGAAGGGGCACUAAAGACAUUCUCAGAUGAAGGAAAGCUAGAAGAAUUUGUUAAUUUCAGACCUAUCCUUAAAAAUUGACUAAAGGAAGACCUUCAGCAGGAAGGAAAUAAUAAAAGAAGGAGCCAUGGAGCAUAAGAAAGAACAACAUAAAAACGAAGCAUAUGAGUACAAACCAUAGACCAUUGUUUCUCAUGUGAGUUUUAUUUUAAGAAUCUGAAGAUCAAAACAAAAAUUAUAGCAUUAUUUGAUGCUCAAGAUAACAUUGUGAAAGGGGCCAGGCACGGUGGCUCAUGCCUGUAAUCCCAGCACUCUGGGAGGGCGAGGCAGGUGGAUCACCUGAGGUCAGGAGUUCAAGACCAGCCUGGCCAACAUAGUGAAAUACCAUCUCUACUAAAAAUACAAAAAGUUAGCUGGGGGUAGUAGCGAAUGCCUGUAAUUCCAGCUACUCGGGAGGCUGAGGCAGGAGAAUUGUUUGAACCUAGGAUGCGGAAGUUCGCUUCAUUGCACUGCAGCCUGGGCGACAGAGUGAGACUCUGUCUCAAAAAAAAAAAAAAAAAAAAGGAAGAAAGAAAGAAAGAUAAGGGACCUAAAUGGAAGAAAGGUUUCCACAUGUCCUUCAAGGUGGCAAAACAUUGAUACCAGCAGACUGCGAUAAGUCACAUAUGUCUAUUGAAAUAACCAAAAUAAAAACUCUAUGAAGAAAUACACUCAAAAACACUAUAAAUAAGUCAAAAUGAAAUACUAAGAAGUAUUCAAGUAACAAUAAAAGAGAAAAAGGAAUGAUAACCAGAGGAAACAAACAGAAAACAAAUAACAAAAUGGUAGUCUUAAGCUCUAACAUACCCAUAAUUAAAUCCACCAGGAAGUCAUAACAAUUCUAAAGGCAUAUGCACCAAAAGCAGUGCCUCAAAAUACAUGAAACAAACAUUGACAGAGCUGAAAGGAGAGACAAAUUCAUAAUUAUAGUUGGAGACUUCAACAUCUCCCUCUCAGCAACUGUUAGAACUAGUAG
rnacentral:lncRNA from 10 species